rnacentral:rRNA from 1 species
UACGUAGGGUGCGAGCGUUGCCCGGAUUUAUUGGGCGUAAAGAGCUCGUAGGCGGCUUGUUGCGUCGUCCGUGAAAACCUGUGGCUCAACUACAGGCUUGCGGUCGAUACGGGCGGGCUGGAGUUCGGUAGGGGAGACUGGAAUUCCUGGUGUAGCGGUGAAAUGCGCAGAUAUCAGGAGGAACAUCGGUGGCGAAGGCGGGUCUCUGGGCCGAUACUGACGCUGAGGAGCGAAAGCGUGGGGAGCGAACAGG